CCGAGCGCCUGGCACGGCCGGGCCAUGCCCCGGGGAAGGAGGGACCAGGGCCGGGGGCGGGAGCCAGCCCUUGUGCUCGCAGCCCUGGGUUCGGAGCCCAGCUGCCCGGGAAGGUUUCCAGAUCUCCCUGAGCCUCAGUUUCCCCAUCUGUAAACUGGGUGGUGGUGGCUUCGUCCCCCGCUUUGAGAGGACAGCAGGAGAGGCGUCCUGAGAAGUGAGUUCGCCUGGAAGCUGCCGGGCUGUAGUUUGCGUUGAUACCACCGAUCUUCCCGGUCACUCUAGGAGACGGGCCAUAUCCCCGUUUUACAAAUGAGGAAACUAACUCAGCGAGGGGAGACGCCGUGUCCAGGGACACACACUUUCCUGGCUCCCCAGAUGGGAUUCUAGAGGCGUCCUCAGGAUCCAGAACAAGGUCUCCUUGGUGACAGGGGAGGCGAUGGGUAGCCC
rnacentral:lncRNA from 1 species